rnacentral:lncRNA from 1 species
AGUGAGGGUGUUUGGGGGGUGUGAGGGCAUGUCUACGGAGGUCAGAGGAUAAGUCUAUAUAGUUGGUUCUUUAAAUCCACAUUUCUAUGGGCUGGAUACAUUUUUGUCCUGAAGGUCACCCUGUGCUCUGUGGAAGCUCAGCAGUAGUCCCGAGGCUCUGAUUAUGAGAUUCUUCCAGAUAUCUCCCACACUUCUCAUUUGAAAGGUAAAAGUAUUUCCAGGCAUACUCUACACUUCUGCAGAGAGAAUAUCUUGUGUAUUGUAUGGAUGCAUCACCUGACCAUUAAAAAGACCUAUGGCCUAUAGGAAAGGGUAGAUUAGAAGGUGGGGCAUCCAGGAGGCAGAAAGGAUUCUGGGAUAGAACCAGGCACAGAAGAUUUGCCCGGAGAAGAUGGAACUAGAUGUAUGCAUAGUACCUGAGUAUUUUGGGUCUUGCAAUCUAAUCUUGGAGUCAUAAAGUCCAAGAUCAGAACAAGUCUGGGGCUGGUCCUCAAAAAAUGUGAGGGGCAAUGGUCUCUUUCACAAGGACACAUAUUCCAAGCAUUUUGUCACCUACCCUCUCCAUAACCUUGGGGGUGAGCAUUUCAGUGUGUGGGGGUUAGAGACACUCAGAUCACAACACAGAUUCUGUUGCUAAAUAUUCCUGAGUAGGAAAAUCAUCUUUUGGAUAUUCAACACCUAUAUAGAUUGUGUUCAAAAGAACCUGCAGUGUUCUUUAAAUACUCAGAGAGCCUAUGAAAUGAUUUUUGAAAACUCUAUGUGUGAUAGCACAAGCCUAGAAUCCCAGCACACAGGUGGCAA